rnacentral:rRNA from 1 species
AUGCCCAUUGGUGUUCCAAAAGUACCUUACCGGAUUCCUGGAGAUGAAGAAGCGACUUGGGUUGACUUAUACAAUGUUAUGUAUCGAGAAAGGACACUUCUUUUAGGUCAAGAGAUUCGUUGCGAGAUCACGAAUCAUAUUACAGGUCUCAUGGUAUAUCUGAGUAUAGAAGAUGGAAUUAGUGAUAUUUUU